UUAAGUUCAGCGGGUAUUCCUACCUGAUCCGAGGUCAACCAUAGAAAAUAGGGGGUGUUUUAUGGCGAGGGCCGGGCCAACUACAAAGAAGCGAGGUGUAAAGAUUUACUACGCCUAGAGUAUGACCUAACUCUGCCAGCUAACUCUGAGGAGCUGCGUUUUACGGCAGUCUCCCGACACUAAGCAACUAGGGCUUAAGG
rnacentral:misc_RNA from 1 species